UACAGAGGUCUCGAGCGUUAGGCGGAAUCACUGGGCUUAAAGCGUGUGUAGGUGGAUGCCUAAGUACCUUGUGAAAUCCCACGGCUCACCCGUGGAACUGCUGGGCAUACUGGCGAUCUUGGGCCAACUAGGGGCAGUCGGAACAAGCGGUGGAGCGGUGAAAUGCGUAGAUAUCGCUUGGAACGCCGAAGGUGAAAACAGACUGCUGGGGUUGCGCCGACGCUGAGAACACGGAAAGCCAGGGGAGCAAACGGG
rnacentral:rRNA from 1 species